UCCUGGCUCAGAUUGAACGCUGGCGGCAUGCCUUACACAUGCAAGUCGAACGGCAGCGGACCUUCGGGUGCCGGCGAGUGGCGAACGGGUGAGUAAUAUAUCGGAACGUACCUUUCAGUGGGGGAUAACGUAGCGAAAGUUACGCUAAUACCGCAUAUUCUGUGAGCAGGAAAGCAGGGGAUCGCAAGACCUUGCGCUGAUUGAGCGGCCGAUAUCAGAUUAGCUAGUUGGUGAGGUAAAGGCUCACCAAGGCGACGAUCUGUAGCGGGUCUGAGAGGAUGAUCCGCCACACUGGAACUGAGACACGGUCCAGACUCCUACGGGAGGCAGCAGUGGGGAAUUUUGGACAAUGGGGGCAACCCUGAUCCAGCCAUGCCGCGUGAGUGAAGAAGGCCUUCGGGUUGUAAAGCUCUUUCGGCCGGGAAGAAAUCGCACAGGUUAAUACCCUGUGUGGAUGACGGUACCGGAAUAAGAAGCACCGGCUAACUACGUG
rnacentral:rRNA from 1 species